GCCAGACUCCUACGGGAGGCAGCAGUGAGGAAUAUUGGUCAAUAGCCGAGAGGCUGAACCAGCCAAGUCGCGUGAGGGAAGAAUGUCCUAAGGAUUGUAAACCUCUUUUGCCGGGGAGCAAAAAGGCUCUGCGGAGUCGUAUUGAGAGUACCCGAAGAAAAAGCAUCGGCUAACUCCGUGCCAGCAGCCGCGGUAAUACGGAGGAUGCGAGCGUUAUCCGGAUUUAUUGGGUUUAAAGGGUGCGCAGGCGGCGGCGCAAGUCAGUGAUAAAUUUGAGGGGCACACCCUCUCCCCGCCGUUGAAACUGCGUUUCUUGAGUGGGCGAGAAGUACGCGGAAUGCGUGGUGUAGCGGUGAAAUGCAUAGAUAUCACGCAGAACUCCGAUUGCGAAGGCAGCGUACCGGCGCCCAACUGACGCUCAUGCACGAAAGCGUGGGUAUCGAACAGGAUUAGAUACCCUAGUA
rnacentral:rRNA from 1 species